GAUGAACGCUGGCGGCGUGCCUAAUACAUGCAAGUCGAGCGAACGGACGAGAAGCUUGCUUCUCUGAUGUUAGCGGCGGACGGGUGAGUAACACGUGGAUAACCUACCUAUAAGACUGGGAUAACUUCGGGAAACCGGAGCUAAUACCGGAUGAUAUUUUGAACCGCAUGGUUCAAAAGUGAAAGACGGUCUUGCUGUCACUUAUAGAUGGAUUCGCGCUGCAUUAGCUAGUUGGUAAGGUAACGGCUUACCAAGGCAACGAUGCAUAGCCGAGCUGAGAGGGGGUUCGGCGCCACUGGAGCUGAGCCGCGAUCCUGGGUCCGAGGGGAGGCAGCGGUUGGGAAGCUUCCGCAAUGGGCGAAAGCCUGACGGAGCAGCGCAGCGUGAGUGAUGAAGGGCUUCGGAUCGUAAAACUCUGUUAGUAGGGAAGAACAUAUGUGUAAGUAACUGUGCGCAUCUGGACGGAACCGAAACAGAAGGCCACGGCUAACUACGU
rnacentral:rRNA from 1 species